UUGAACCCCGCCCCAGACUCCUAGGGGGGGCAGCAGUGGGGAAUAUUGCACAAUGGGCGAAAGCCUGAUGCAGCGACGCCGCGUGAGGGAUGACGGCCUUCGGGGUUGUAAACCUCUUUUCAGCAGGGAAGAAGCGAAAGUGACGGUACCUGCAGAAGAAGCGCCGGCUAACUACGUGCCAGCAGCCGCGGUAAUACGUAGGGCGCAAGCGUUGUCCGGAAUUAUUGGGCGUAAAGAGCUCGUAGGCGGUUUGUCGCGUCUGCUGUGAAAGCCCGGGGCUCAACCCCGGGUCUGCAGUGGGUACGGGCAGACUCGAGUGCAGUAGGGGAGACUGGAAUUCCUGGUGUAGCGGUGAAAUGCGCAGAUAUCAGGAGGAACACCGAUGGCGAAGGCAGGUCUCUGGGCUGUAACUGACGCUGAGGAGCGAAAGCAUGGGGAGCGAACAGGAUUAGAUACCCUGGUAGUCCAUGCCGUAAACGUUGGGCACUAGGUGUGGGGGACAUUCCACGUUUUCCGCGCCGUAGCUAACGCAUUAAGUGCCCCGCCUGGGGAGUACGGCCGCAAGGCUAAAACUCAAAGGAAUUGACGGGGGCCCGCACAAGCGGCGGAGCAUGCGGAUUAAUUCGAUGCAACGCGAAGAACCUUACCAAGGCUUGACAUGGGCCGGAUCGGGCUGGAAACAGUCCUUCCCUUCGGGGCCGGUUCACAGGUGGUGGGCAUGGGUUGGCGGUCAGCUCGUGUCGUGAGAUGUUGGGUUAAGUCCCGCAACGAGCGCAACCCUCGUUCUAUGUUGCCAGCGGUUCGGCCGGGGACUCAUAGGAGACUGCCGGGGUCAACUCGGAGGAAGGUGGGGACGACGUCAAAUCAUCAUGCCCCUUAUGUCUUGGGCUUCACGCAUGCUACAAUGGCCGGUACAAAGGGUUGCGAUACUGUGAGGUGGAGCUAAUCCCAAAAAGCCGGUCUCAGUUCGGAUUGAGGUCUGCAACUCGACCUCAUGAAGUCGGAGUCGCUAGUAAUCGCAGAUCAGCAACGCUGCGGUGAAUACGUUCCCGGGCCUUGUACACACCGCCCGUCAAGUCACGAAAGUUGGUAACACCCGAAGCCGGUGGCCUAAC
rnacentral:rRNA from 1 species